rnacentral:misc_RNA from 1 species
CCCCCCCCUCCCCCUCCGGCUCUCUGUCCUUUCUCCUUCUCCUCUCCUUUUCUGCUUUCUCUAUAUUUUGAAUUGGUUUUUAAGUGCAUAAAACUUGAGAGCAUAUGAGCAGUUAAUCAAAAUAAUAGAAAAGUACUUUAAUGAAAAUUUGGCAAUAUUUUAAUAGAUUCUAUGAAGUUUUUGGAUGCUAGCUGAGAGUUACACCAGUUGAAGCUUUCAGAACAGGAGCAUCAACUGAAAUUCUGUUAUACUGUUUAAUUUGAUGUGUUUGAAGGUCCUGACUAAAAUAUUCAAUAAUUUACUCAUGUUGGGUGAUGAGAAACAUUAGGUUUUAGUAGGCUUAUAUAGUUAAUUUUACAUGGUCUUAUUUAUUGGAAUUCAAUAUCAAACAAGCAGUUCUUGUCUCUUUGAGUUGGAUUGAAACUUCAACAUUCAACCAACUGUUGGUCAUGAACUAUUCCAAUUAUUACGACCAUGGCAACUUCACCUAAUUUAUGGAGUGUUGGGCGUGUGUUUGGAAUGUAAUAAGCCAUGCACUACGGAAUGCAGAAAAUUGGAAUUAAAGGAAUGGGCAUAUACCAGUAACACAUUUGAAAUGUGAUUGACUGGUAGUGCUAUAUGUUUUGAUAAUAGUGUAAAUUUUAAUGAAUGAUGUUAGAUGUAUGUUUUGGAAAUAUGCAAAUAUAUUUGAAUUUCCUAUAUUAUUGUAUCAUUACAUUUUCAAUGAUUAAAUUCCACCGUGCUUAACGAUGAUUGACAAACAUGAUCUACGUGUAUCCAAUGUCAAUGUGCCUUAGCUUAUAAAGCCUAUUCUUUGCCCCUGAUAUUAUAAUGUUUCUUGUUGAAGUUUUUUAUUACUGUAAAGCUCUUGGACUGAAAGGCAUAGAUGUGUAAGGUGGCCUAUAACCAGAGAAAUAUAUUAGGUAUGUCCCAGUGAGCCAAUGUAAUAUAAGUUCUGAAUAAAUAGAGAAAUGAGAAAAAAAAAAAUUGGGUUUCUGAAGUUGAUAUUCUAGAAUAAUUGGGGCCCUUGCUUUGCUCAGUAUGCUUAGAAGAAGGCCAUGUUUUUGGUGAUAGAUUUGAACUUAUGUGUUGAUGAACUUAAGCUUGUGCCCAGUACUACAAUUCUAAUAGUUUUUAGAUUGUGGAGUCUAGGAAGCUGAUACUAGACUAAAUUAUAACCUGUGAAAUGAUAUUUGGCUGAACUUAGUUGUAGUUGUCAUCUCUGUAUUCUUGCCAGUUUAGUCAUGUACAGUACUAAAUCCUUUGUUUUAAAUUUUCUCAUGCUAAUUUGUGAAUUCCUGUUUGGCAGCCAGUUAGGUGUUGAUGUGAAUAGAUUGAAAUGUUCAGGAACCUGCAUCUUAGGAUGUUAGAAUUGCCAGGUCAUCCAUAGUUCCUAUUUUACACAGCUUGCAUCAUUUUUAUCUCAAGUUAAGCUUUACUUUGUUUUAGUGAAUUAUACUUCUUCUCUUGGACAUCUACAGGAUUCUUUAACUUUUAAGUAAAGAAGUUAUGGCUAAUGCAAAUACAUCAGCUUCAGUGGUGCCCUCUGAUUCAUCUGAACAGAGGGAAAUAAAUUCAGCAGAAUCAAACACGCCUACAGUUCAACCUCCUCCAAACCAGCAAAAUCGAAGCUCUUUAGAUGGUCCUGUGGCUAUCCUCUGGGACAUUGAGAAUUGCCCUGUCCCCAGUGAUGUCCGCCCUGAAGAUGUAGCUGGUAAUAUUAGAAUGGCUUUACGCGUGCAUCCUAUAAUUAAAGGUGCUGUUAUGAUGUUUUCUGCAUAUGGGGAUUUUAAUUCUUUCCCAAGGCGACUUAGAGAGGGCUGCCAGAGAACUGGUGUUAAACUUAUUGAUGUUCCUAAUGGUAGAAAGGAUGCUGCUGACAAAGCUAUUUUAGUUGACAUGUUUCUUUUUGCCCUUGACAACCCACCACCUUCUUCCAUCAUGCUGAUAUCUGGGGAUGUUGAUUUUGCUCCAGCACUCCACAUUCUUGGUCAACGUGGAUAUACUGUGAUCCUUGUUAUCCCUUCUGGUGUGGGUGUCUCAUCUGCUUUGAGCAAUGCUGGUAAGUUUGUUUGGGACUGGCCUAGUGUGGCUCGUGGGGAAGGCUUUGUACCCCCUUCAAAGGGUUUAAUGCCUCCUUAUGCUGGACCAGCUGACAUGGCUGGGUAUUUCAUGGGGUGUCAUAUAAACGACAACCUUGAUGGUCAAAAUGAAGAAGAGGCAAUCGUGUACAGAGGAAUCUCCCAAAGCUAUUAUAAUUCAAGAGAUUUUUCUGUAGUGUCACGGUCUUUGUCUGAAUACAACUGUAGUUCUUCUAUAAAUAUGCCUUGUUUCCCCACAAGUAUGAGGUCACAGAGUCUCCCAUCUGGUUUGAAUGAAGUUUCAGCUGGUCCUGUUUUUUAUGAUGACCAAUAUCAUUCUACCAUGUGGGUACAGCCUGGGGAUAUAAAUGGUCUGAAGUUACAGAUGGUGAAGUUGCUUGAACUUUCAGGUGGAUGUUUGCCUCUUACUCGGGUUCCUGCUGAGUACCAGAAGCUCUAUGGACGGCCACUUUAUGUAUCAGAGUAUGGGGCAUUCAAGCUGGUUAAUCUUUUCAAGAAAAUGAAUGAUGCAUUGGCAAUAGAUGGCAAGGGCCAAAAGAAGUUUAUCUACCUUAGAAAUUGGAAAGCAAGCCCAAGUGCACCUCCUUUACCUCAGGCAAGAAAGGAUAAGAAAAGAAAGGGGACUCAGGAAGAGAGUUUGGACGUUAUGGCAGGUGGUGGCUCUUCAGAUGAGUUCUCAGAUGACGAAAGGGUGGUAGCUGAGGAACAUGAGGAGAGAAGGAACCAAGGUAAGGCGAGCACAGGGACAACAGCUCGAUGUGAAGUUAACCAAAAUCUUGAGCAAUUCAAACACGAGUUGCAGGAAAUUCUAGUGAGUUAUUCUUGUCGGAUUUUCCUGGGUUGUUUUGAGGCAAUAUAUCAGCAACGAUACAAGAAACCACUAGACUAUCAAAGGUUUGGUGUGGAUCAGCUGGAGGAGCUUUUUAAUAAGGUAAGUGAUGUUGUUGUCUUGCAUGAAGAACCAGUAAGCAAGAGGAAAUUUCUGGCUGCUGUGGGUGGUUAGUAACAAAGAGUAAACAGCUUGCCUAUCUGUUAUUUUUUUUUCACUUGCAUAUUGCAGACUCAUAACUUCAACAAUUUUCCCCUUGUUUCAUAAAUAGCGGGAGAGGCUGGAUCACAUUUGUUGUUUUAUAAAAUAUGUGUCCUGCAUGGAUUUGAGUAUUAAUUUUGAAAUUUCCAUGUAUGCCUCUGUGCCUCAUCCUUGUAACUAAUCAAACAACUAAUGCUUAGUGUCUUAGCACUUUGGUUUUCUAGCAUUUUCAAACUUAAUGCUUGGAGUUUCAUCCUUUCUUAUGUACUCUUUGAUAAUUGUGCAUCAAAUGUGAUCGAGUGAUUCUUCCUUAGCACAUCACACCGUGUGUAAGGUAAUGGCAACCCAACUCCCCAUGUGAGCAAGAGAGCAAGGUAAUACAUCCAAAAUAAAC